GCAUAUCAAUAAGCGGAGGAAAAGAAACCAACAGGGAUUGCCCUAGUAACGGCGAGUGAAGCGGCAACAGCUCAAAUUUGAAAUCUGGCGUCUUUGGCGUCCGAGUUGUAAUUUGCAGAGGGCGCUUUGGCAUUGGCAGCGGUCCAAGUUCCUUGGAACAGGACGUCACAGAGGGUGAGAAUCCCGUACGUGGUCGCUAGCCUUUACCGUGUAAAGCCCCUUCGACGAGUCGAGUUGUUUGGGAAUGCAGCUCUAAAUGGGAGGUAAAUUUCUUCUAAAGCUAAAUACUGGCCAGAGACCGAUAGCGCACAAGUAGAGUGAUCGAAAGAUGAAAAGCACUUUGGAAAGAGAGUUAAAAAGCACGUGAAAUUGUUGAAAGGGAAGCGCUUGCAGCCAGACUUGCCUGUAGUUGCUCAUCCGGGUUUUUACCCGGUGCACUCUUCUAUAGGCAGGCCAGCAUCAGUUUGGGCGGUUGGAUAAAGGUCUCUGUCACGUACCUCCUCUCGGGGAGAACUUAUAGGGGAGACGUAAUGCAACCAGCCUGGACUGAGGUCCGCGCAUCUGCUAGGAUGCUGGCGUAAUGGCUGUAAGCGGCCCGUCUUGAAACACGGACCAAGGAGUCUAACAUCUAUGCGAGUGUUUGGGUGUCAAGCCCGAGCGCGUAAUGAAAGUGAACGGAGGUGGGAACCUUUCGGGGUGCACCAUCGACCGAUCCUGAUGUCUUCGGAUGGAUUUGAGUAAGAGCAUAGCUGUUGGGACCCGAAAGAUGGUGAACUAUGCUUGAAUAGGGUGAAGCCAGAGGAAACUCUGGUGGAGGCUCGCAGCGGUUCUGACGUGCAAAUCGAUCGUCAAAUUUGGGCAUAGGGGCGAAAGACUAAUCGAACUAUCUAGUAGCUGGUUCCUGCCGA
rnacentral:rRNA from 1 species